UGGGGAAUAUUGGACAAUGGGGGGAACCCUGAUCCAGCCAUGCCGCGUGUGUGAAGAAGGCCUUAUGGUUGUAAAGCACUUUAAGCGAGGAGGAGGGUACUGGUAUUAAUACUACCAGCUACUGGACGUUACUCGCAGAAUAAGCACCGGCUAACUCUGUGCCAGCAGCCGCGGUAAUACAGAGGGUGCGAGCGUUAAUCGGAUUUACUGGGCGUAAAGCGUGCGUAGGCGGCUAAUUGAGUCGGAUGUGAAAUCCCCGAGCUUAACUUGUGAAUUGCAUUCGAUACUGGUUAGCUAGAGUGUGGGAGAGGAUGGUAGAAUUCCAGGUGUAGCGGUGAAAUGCGUAGAGAUCUGGAGGAAUACCGAUGGCGAAGGCAGCCAUCUGGCCUAACACUGACGCUGAGGUACGAAAGCAUGGGGAGCAAACAGG
rnacentral:rRNA from 1 species